UACGGUAGGGUGCGAGCGUUGUCCGGAAUCAUUGGGCGUAAAGAGCGUGUAGGCGGUCCGGUAAGUCGGCUGUGAAAGUCCAGGGCUCAACCCUGGGAUGCCGGUCGAUACUGCCGGGCUAGAGUCCGGAAGAGGCGAGUGGAAUUCCUGGUGUAGCGGUGGAAUGCGCAGAUAUCAGGAGGAACACCAAUAGCGAAGGCAGCUCGCUGGGACGGUACUGACGCUGAGGCGCGAAAGCGUGGGGAGCGAACAGG
rnacentral:rRNA from 1 species